rfam:Caulobacter sp. K31, complete genome.
CGCUCCUGCCCUUCCUGGGCGUUUCCUCCCUAAUAACUGCCCGGCCUUCGCGCCGGGCAUUUUUUUGGCUCGC